UUUAUCUCUGUAAUAUAAAGUAUGCUAUAUUAUUUUGAAUACCUUUACCUUUUAAUAUUGGACACUAAAAGAGGUUAUUUCUCUAGAAAUGUCUGAUUUGGAUAUUGUCUUUUAUAGUGUUAAUGUGGAAGACAUGCUGUACUGUAUGUGGCGGUAGUCAGUGAGGAGCUGGAGAAUGCUGUGCGUUCAGUACUUGCAAACCUGGAUGGUCUUCAUCCCUUCACCACCCAGCAUUUCAACAUUUUUCCUUUCCUUCCUUCCUAUACUUCUCUGAAUAUAAUUUUAAAGGGGUAGUUUACCUAAAAAUUAAAUUGAGCUGUUAUCUUUCUUCUGAAGAACACAGAACAGUUUGAAGAAUGUCGGGACCCAAACAGUUCUGGUUACCAUUGACUUCCAUUGUAUGAAGAAAAAAAAACACAAAAGUAAAUGGGAACAAGUGUCCAAAAUGAAGUUCAUGAAGGAGGGUGUAAAACUGUCUCCGUACCCCUUCCUUAUCACACUCUAUGUGGAGUAUCGUGAACCAGCCUUUCCAUAUGCAGGUGGGAGUCCUCUCAAUCUCACCCUUUCACCAUGA
ensembl:lncRNA